rnacentral:piRNA from 1 species
UAAGGGAUAGAUAGCAAUCUACCUUUCAGGG